AAUUGUGAGCAACUGAUGCUAGCAAAUUGUGAGAGCACAAGUAAAUGUACUAGCAAAAUCUUUAGUUCUUAUCCGCUUUCUUCAUUCUCAUUUUUCCUCAUUUCCAAAUUUUCGUUCUUCACAUUUUCAUUGCAUUAAUUUGUCUAACUUAAUCAUUUCUGCUAAUUCCUCCUAAUUCUCAUUCAAUUCCCCUAAUUCUCAAUUCUCCUCUUCGCCGCCAGCCACCGAUCAGCCACCGACCAAUUCUCUCCGCCGCCAACCACCAGCCAGUCUCUCUCUCUCAAAUUCAGGAACAACAAUUUCAGUGAAGAUCGCUAGAAAGUAAGAUCGCUAAAAAUUCGACAACGAUGUUUUCCUCUUCUUUUUUUUUUGAAAUUCUAUCUGUUCGAUUGCAUCAGAAUUGAGCAAUGCAUGCUAUAUUUUAGUUCAUCUAGCAAUGCAUGCUAUUGUUUUAAUAAUUGGACUGAUUUGCAUAUUUAGGGAUAAUGAUGUCAAUUUUACUGUUUCAAUUUCGUGGAGAGCUAAAUCAGGUGUUUAAUUGAAUCAAUUUUGCUUUAUAAUAUAAUUUUGAGUACAUUUCUGUACACCUCUACUAUUCUGUUACUGCUUUGUGUGAUGACCAGCUACACCUUAAAAUUCAAGUUGGUAAUGAGAGUGAGAGUAACUAUACAGACAUUACGGUGAUCAUAUUGUGGUCAUUGUAUGUGAGAGAAUAAGCCUUCCAUGCCAACUUGAAUCAGAUGGUAUUUCUCUUGAUAUGGUCAAUGUAUGUGGAGAAGCGCCUUCCGUUGGUAUUUCUCUUGGUUUGCCACAGAAGGCUUAUUCAAGUUGGAAUGACAAAGUUGACCAGAUAAUAGGUAACUCUUGUGUCUGUCAAAAUUGAUUGCAAUUGCACUUAAGGUUAGGAUUUGUGACUGCCAAAAUACUUUUGUUAUGUGUUUAUAGUUUUGAACUUAUUUGCAAUCUUGUAGAAUUAUUUGAGAAGCAUAAAAGAACUGACCCCUGGUCUUGCAUAAGCUGGAGCUUUGGUCAGGAUUCUAUCUGCAUAGUCUACUACAGAAUAAUUUAGUUGAUAAAGCUUGAAGCAUUUGGUAGGUUGGUGAGAAUUUUGGUGUGUAUUUGUGCAAUCAGUUUCUCAUUGCCUCUUUCCUGCUAUGCGAAACCCAACUGAAACUAUAGAAUGCUAUUAAAUAUUCUGCCUGCAUGGGAUAUUCUGUCUCGGUUUAUCAAAUUCAUUUCCAAUGUUCUUUUUCACUGGUAUUAUACUUGGUAACACAGUUUUUCCACUAGUAUUUGAUAGCUCGAUGUACACAUUAUCAUUUUUCAGUGGAGAGCCUUGAGAUAGUAUAACUAUAGUUAACUCAUCCAUUGCAUUUACUUGGCAGCACAUAUUCCUAGUUGAGUAUGUCUGCCAAAGAAGAUAGCCCACAAUUUGCAGUGGAGCAGUUCUUACAUCUGCACCCUCGGCCCAGUUGCAUCAUCGGCUCCCUCUCCAGUUUCAAAGACAAAUACAGGUUUUCAGAGGAGAGCGGAUUCAAAGAAUAUGCUUUUUUUAGUGUGAGAAAGUCAUCAUUGAUUCAGUUCAAGACGAAGCUGGAUAUGUCCAUGGUUGCUAAUUCCAAAGAGGAUCGAUGUGAUUUUAGGAUUGAAGGCAGCUGGUUUGAGCGAUCAUGCGCCAUAUACGCCAGAGACACCAAUAAUGACAUUGCUCAACUAAGAUCCAGAUUUAAACCCACUUCUUCUCUAAUUUAAAUCUAUCCAUUAAUGAUGUAACUAUGAAGCACUUGGUUUAUGGUCUAUCUUAUUCUUCAUCAGCUUUACUCAAUGGAUUCUACUACUAAUUGGCUAUCUUUGUUGAGGUAAUUCUGCAUCUAAGAGCCUUACCACCAUUAUGUGAUUUGCACAACUAACAUAACCCCUUGACAAAUUGUUUGGGUUUUAUAUUUGCUUUGUAACAAGUAUUUUAUAUGAUGUUGUUGGAAAACUCCAUGUUUCUAGAGAGAGGCCAAAAAUAUUGUGAGUGAUCAAAGGCCUAAACUAUUGAAGUUUAUCGGCUGGAAUUCAAGGUAAUAUGCAUCUUUUUUUUUAUCAUCAUUGAUUGGAUAGUCUUUAGAAUUUACCUUGACUGUCAUUAUAACACACUUCUUUUCUUUUUUAUAUUUAUUUGAUAUAUUGUUCUAACAGUCUUUUUCUUUUAUUAUUUGUGCAAAACAUGCUAACGUCGAGAAAUAUGAUCAAAAUCUCGCUUUAGAUGCAUUUAAAAGAAAAUGCAAAGUUAGGUAUGGAGAUUAUAUCAGCAAGAUGAGAAAGGCACAAAAGAAAAUAGAAGAAGUGGCUAGUAGUAUUUGAACUAAAUUGUGGAAACUAGUAGUAUUUGAACUUAAUUUGUGAUUUGAUUGAAUUGAAGUGUGAAACAAUAUUUUGUAUCUAUGUAAAAUUUGAAUUUUCGUCA